CACGUAGUUAGCCGUGGCUUUCUGAUUAGGUACCGUCAAGAUGUGCACAGUUACUUACACAUUUGUUCUUCCCUAAUAACAGAGUUUUACGAGCCGAAACCCUUCAUCACUCACGCGGCGUUGCUCCGUCAGGCUUUCGCCCAUUGCGGAAGAUUCCCUACUGCCGCCUCCCGUAGGAGUCUGGACCGUGUCUCAGUUCCAGUGUGGCCGAUCACCCUCUCAGGUCGGCUACGUAUCGUCGCCUUGGUAAGCCGUUACCUUACCAACUAGCUAAUACGGCGCGGGUCCAUCUAUAAGUGAUAGCAAAACCAUCUUUCACUUUAGAACCAUGCGGUUCUAAAUGUUAUCCGGUAUUAGCUCCGGUUUCCCGAAGUUAUCCCAGUCUUAUAGGUAGGUUACCCACGUGUUACUCACCCGUCCGCCGCUAACUUCAAAGGAGCAAGCUCCUUAUCUGUUCGCUCGACUUGCAUGUAUUAGGCACGCCGCCAGCGUUCAUCCUGAGCCAGGAUCAAACUCU
rnacentral:rRNA from 1 species